CAAAAACAUCUCCCCCAGUAUUAUUUAGGAUUGGGGGUAGGCCCUGCCCGGUGAUUUAUUUUUUAACGGCGGUGUUAAGCCUUAAAGUAGCGUAGUCAUUCGUCCUUUAAUUGAGGUCUAGUAUGAAUGGGUUGACGUGGAUAGGCUGUCUCGAAGAGAGUUUCGUAAAUUUUCUUUUUAGUGAAAAGUCUGAGAUUUAUUUAAAAGACGAGAAGACCCCGUCGAGCUUGAUUAACUUAGCAAGGGGUUGUUAUGUGAAGGUUUGUUGGGGCAAUAAGGGAGAAAGAAAACCUCCCUUUUCUUAUGUGGGGAUCCCCUUUUUGGGAAAAAAGAAAAAGCUACCGCGGGGAUAACAGCGCAAGACUGCCUGAUAGGUCAUAUUGAAGGCUGUAUUUGCGACCUCGAUGUUGGAUUAGGGUAUACAACCAGGCGUAGAAGCUUGGUGAGGUGGGACUGUUCGUCCUUUAAAUCCCUACAUGAUCUGAGU
rnacentral:rRNA from 1 species